CAGCUUGGGAAGGUGGACAGCACUUUUGUGCAGAGAGAAAGAAACUUUGUCCUCCAGACAGAAGCAGCCCUGUGCCAGAGCGCACGGUUCCAAGGGAGUAUGGGCAGGAUUUCAGCACCCUCCCUCUCUCAGAGGUGGUUACUUGAUCCAACAGAAAGAUGGAUUUAGCUGAAUUCGGCAAGUUUACCAAAAGAUUGUAGACCCCACGAGUGUGCGGCAUUGUUUCACUGAGGGAUUUAUUACAUCUAUCGAUAGAAGCCCUGCCAGGUGCUGAGAAUGAGCAAGUUGGCAACACCGUGUACCUAGAAGAGUGCCCCUGUGAUUAGACAUCUCCAUCUCUGGAAAGGGGAGGAAAGCCCUCCGUCUUCACGUUAACUGAGCUUCAGAAGCCCAUGACAAGU